rnacentral:rRNA from 1 species
UACGAAGGGGGCUAGCGUUGCUCGGAAUCACUGGGCGUAAAGGGUGCGUAGGCGGGUCUUUUAAGUCAGGGGUGAAAUCCUGGAGCUCAACUCCAGAACUGCCUUUGAUACUGAAGAUCUUGAGUUCGGGAGAGGUGAGUGGAACUGCGAGUGUAGAGGUGAAAUUCGUAGAUAUUCGCAAGAACACCAGUGGCGAAGGCGGCUCACUGGCCCCGAUACUGACGCUGAGGCACGAAAGCGUGGGGAGCGAACAGG